rnacentral:rRNA from 1 species
UACGUAGGGCGCAAGCGUUAUCCGGAAUUAUUGGGCGUAAAGAGCUCGUAGGCGGUUUGUCGCGUCUGCUGUGAAAGACCGGGGCUCAACUCCGGUUCUGCAGUGGGUACGGGCAGACUAGAGUGUGGUAGGGGAGACUGGAAUUCCUGGUGUAGCGGUGAAAUGCGCAGAUAUCAGGAGGAACACCGAUGGCGAAGGCAGGUCUCUGGGCCAUAACUGACGCUGAGAAGCGAAAGCAUGGGGAGCGAACAGG